AACGAACGCUGGCGGCAGGCCUAAAACAUGCAAGUCGAACGAUGUAGCAAUACAUAGUGGCGCACGGGUGAGUAACGCGUGGGAAUGUACCUCUGGGUGCGGAACAACGUCGGGAAACUGACGCUAAUACCGCAUAAUAUCUACGGAUCAAAGAUUUAUCGCCCAGAGAUCAGCCCACGUUAGAUUAGGUAGUUGGUGAG
rnacentral:rRNA from 1 species